rnacentral:rRNA from 1 species
AGGGAUUGCCCUAGUAACGGCGAGUGAAGCGGCAACAGCUCAAAUUUGAAAUCUGGCCCUCGGGUCCGAGUUGUAAUUUGUAGAGGAUGAUUUUGGUUAGGUACCUUCCGAGUUCCUUGGAACAGGACGCCUUAGAGGGUGAGAGCCCCGUACGGUUGGAUGCCGAGCCUCUGUAAAUCUCCUUCGACGAGUCGAGUAGUUUGGGAAUGCUGCUCUAAAUGGGAGGUAAAUUUCUUCUAAAGCUAAAUACCGGCCAGAGACCGAUAGCGCACAAGUAGAGUGAUCGAAAGAUGAAAAGCACUUUGAAAAGAGGGUUAAAUAGUACGUGAAAUUGUUGAAAGGGAAGGGCUUGUGACCAGACCUUUGCCUUGCGGAUCAUCCGGUGUUCUCACCGGUGCACUCCGCUUGGUUGAGGCCAGCAUCAGUUUCGGCGGCGGGAUAAAGACUUCAGGAACGUGACUCCCCCGGGAGUGUUAUAGCCUGCUGUGUAAUACCGCCGCUGGGACUGAGGACCGCGCUUCGGCUAGGAUGCUGGCAUAAUGGUCAUCAGCCACCCGUCUUGAAACACGGACCAAGGAGUCGAACAUUUAUGCGAGUUUUUGGGUGUUAAACCCUCAAGCGUAAUGAAAGUGAACGGAGGUGAGAGCCCUUACGGGUGCAUCAUCGACCGAUCCUGAUGUCUUCGGAUGGAUUUGAGUAAGAGCAUAACUGUUCGGACCCGAAAGAUGGUGAACUAUGCGUGGAUAGGGUGAAGCCAGAGGAAACUCUGGUGGAGGCUCGCAGCGGUUCUGACGUGCAAAUCGAUCGUCAAAUCUGCGCAUGGGGGCGAAAGACUAAUCG